rnacentral:lncRNA from 1 species
GCAAGUAUCCAUGAAUCAAACUAAUCAGCACAAAGGAAACCUAUUACAAUCAAUCUUCUAUACUAAUUGUAGUGUUAUUAACAUGUGACUAUCAUAAAAAUGAUAUUAUCUUUGAUGUUUUCCUCUAGCUUUUGUUGAUUGAAGACUAUCUCAUUUCCUGUCCUCUAAAUAGUGUAGAUCGUUUCCGUUGCGGCUAUCUUUAAAAUUUGUCUUCUCCAACCUUUUUGUUUUG